ensembl:lncRNA
AUGUCCCCUUCCAGAGCGUCCGUAGAGACCCCCUGCCUGGGGGGGCUGCACUGUGGGGAGCUCAGCGAGUCCCGGGGGCUGGGGAGCACCGUCUCGUGCCGCGAUGAGCCCAGCAGCGCCCGGCUGCACCCCAACUCCUGUUUUCUCUCCCCAGAGCUCAGCCCUGCGGCGGGUGUUGGAAGUGGCUCCCCCAUGGCUGCAGCCAGCGGCGAGGGGCUGGCCCGGACCCCCCUCCUGCCGGCCGGUGCUGCCCUGGCCCUGCUGGGCGUCCUGGUCUACCUGGGUGCCCUGUGCGCUGCCUGCAGACGCAAGGGCAGGAAGAAGAAGGUCCCUCCGGAUGGGGUGAAGCUGGUGGACGAGUCCCUGCUCAGACAGACGCAGCUGCGGUCACUCAGCAAGUCCGACACGAAGCUGCACGAGCUGUACCGGGUGAAGGCCAGGGAUGACAGUGAGUGGCCGUGGAGCCGGGGGGAGAUGAUGGGGGCCAGUGGCCCUUGGAGGGUGCCCACAGUCCUUUUACCUCCUGGCGAGCACAUCACGGCACGCAGACGUGUGCCACGGUGCCGGGGCGGUGCCGGCAGAGGGGUUGGUGUUUGCUGCAUCCCUGAUGUCCCCCAUCAUGUCCUCUCCCCUCCCCACAGCCCAGCGACCGGCCAGCCUGGAUUUCCCCCGCGCCGCGUCCCCCCCCGCCUCCACUGCCGACUCCCUGCACAGCUCCGGCAUCAGCGUCCUCCUGCACCGCCAGCUGCCCCAAAUCCCCGUCCCCGAGCCCCCGGCCACCUCCUCGGCCCCCGACCAGACCUACUCCAACCUGCUCUUCAACCCGCUGCGGAAGCCGGUGCCGGACACCGUCUACGAGUGCCUGGCGGUGGGGGGGGAGGAUGCCCCGGUGCCCCCCGCACCCACCAGCACCCAGGUGUCCCCUCCACGGGCCGGGCACGGGGCGGCCGAUUACGCCUGUGUCCGAAAGGUGAAGAAGACGAUGCCCACGGAGGUGCAAGAUGGGGCCGUGGCGGGACCUUCUGCAGCCCCACAGUGGUGGGACGGGGCGGGCAAUGCCCCCCAAGCGAAGCUGGAAGAGAUGUACUCGACAGUGUGCAAAGCCACCAAGAAGAAAACUCAGGUCCCUGCGUCGUCCCCAGGGGCUGCGAAGGAGGUGGGUGCUGGGUGGCUGCCCCCCUGCCGGGGGGAGGGUGCCCAGGCUGGGUGCUGGCCCUCGGCAGCCCAAGCCCCCCCAGACCCCUGCUACGAGUCCAUCAAUGACAGAGCCUGGACUGCUCAGGGCCGUGGCCCCGACCCGGACUACGAGGCCGUGGACAUUAACUGGAAGAAGGGGGCGAAACGGGAGAAGUCGGGGAAGUCCUGUGUCCCCGAGAACCUGUACGAAAGCGUCAGUGACAUUUGGGGGGGGGAGUCCCGACGAGCCUCCCCCAGGACGGCGGCCAACGGGCUGGAGGUGUACAUCACCAACCUAUAGCAUCCCCCUGGCAGAGGGGUCCUCGGUCGGCUUUCCAGGGGGUUGAGCCCCCCGGGGACGGGCACACACCAGCCCAGUGCCCACCAGGUGGCUGCGUCCCCUCAAGUGCUUUCUGUAUAUAUUUUAUAUUCGUUUUCUUUAAGCAUCCUUGUCCCAUCCCCACCCCGUGCCAGCAGGUUGGCAUCGGGAUGCCCUGAAGUGGGUGAUUUACGGGUGCUGGGUUUACCAAGAUGGGAAUAGGUUUGGGGCGGGUGUGGGGAGGGGGGCUGUGAGCCAGCUCCAUGGCCCUGGGCUCAGGAUCAGGCCCCUCAUCAGCAGGGUUAUGCCAUGGCUGAGGGUCCCCUUUCUCCUCCCUCUGCCUGGGGGGGGAGCAGGACCCCGUCCAGCCGCCGGGAAGCACCGAACAGCUUCGGUCCCAUCACUGAAUGUCCCUGAUGAUGGGGACCAGGGGCCAGUCCUGUGCCUCUGUGCAAGGCAGCGUGGGCUGGGGGCUGUGAUCCGUCCCCAUCACCCACUCCCACCUUUCAGACACGUCCAGGGGUGCCUCCACGAGCGGAUGUCUCCCAAACACCAUUAAAAGGCUGAGAGGGGAAAAAAAAAAACCCAACUCUUAAACUGGAUCUGAAAGCCUGGUUGUGGCGGCGGCGGCGGCGGCUGCAGCACCGCAGCGGUGCCGGGGCUGGGAGCAGCGUCACCGUGAG